UACGUAGGGUGCGAGCGUUAAUCGGAAUUACUGGGCGUAAAGCGUGCGCAGGCGGUUUUGUAAGCCAGAUGUGAAAGCCCCGGGCUUAACCUGGGAAUGGCAUUUGGGACUGCAAGGCUUGAGUGCGGCAGAGGAGACUGGAAUUCCUGGUGUAGCAGUGAAAUGCGUAGAUAUCAGGAGGAAUACCGAUGGCGAAGGCAGGUCUCUGGGCUGACACUGACGCUCAUGCACGAAAGCGUGGGGAGCAAACAGGAUUAGAAACCCG
rnacentral:rRNA from 1 species